CCCUUAGAUGUCCUGGGCUGCACGCGCGCUACACUGGAAGUUACGGAUUGAGAUACUACCUUGUCCGAAAUGGUCCGGGUAAUCACCUAAAAGCUUGUCAUAAUUGGAAUGGAUUAUUUUAACUAGUAAUCCUGAACGAGGAAUUCCUAGUAAGUCCCAGUCAACAGCUGGUACUGAUUACGUCCCUGCCCUUUGUACACACCGCCCGUCGCUACUACUGAUUGGACGUUUAAGCAAGAUUUUUAAACACUGACAGUGUGUAGUUCACGCUAUACUACAGUGAGAAGAAGAAGAUCGAGCUUACUUGUCUAGAGGAAGUAAAAGUCGUAACA
rnacentral:rRNA from 1 species